UGACCAGAUGCCAAACAGAUUCCAUGUAGGUGCACGAUACUGAGUCACAAAUAGAAGCAGCCUUAAAAAUAAGACAACUCAUCAGCAAUGAUCCGUCAGCUAAACCCACCACCACCACCUAGAGAAUCGUGAGAACCGAAACUCAGAUUCUGUUUUCUAAAUCACAGGACGCAGGACAAAAUUCCCACAUGCCAUUCCCAUUCCCGCAAGUGAGCUGGGCUGCAGGGUAAAUAGCCGGCGGUCUUGCCCUGCAGACCCUCAAGCAGGUGACAGACGGAUCAUGAGAACACCGCUGCCAUCAGGGACAGGGCUCAGCUGUGAUGUCACAGAGGACCAGCCUUCUCUCGAGGUCGGCAGAAUUGCCGUGGGAGCUGGGCACUGCGGACAUAGGGAGCCGGGUUGCUGCGGUGCUGUGAAGGAGAUCUGCGGCUCGUCCAUCCGCCUAGGAGCCCAAGGGAUUGUCCUGGCUAUGCAGCACAGAGUGGCCCAGGGUGGAGCAGCACUUCCCCUCUACUGGACAUCCAACAAGAAAAGGACAGGCGUGGACUGAUCUAAGUGAAGCCCUUUCCGUGCUGAAUGACCCUCCUUUCUCUGAGGCCACUGCUUGGUCACUAAUUCAUUGGGCUGGGAAUCCACAACCCGAAGUUGCACUUCCAUGUACCAUAAAAUAGGCUGAUGGGUCAGGAACACAAGGCUCUCGGAGUUACUCGGAGCACAGGAGGUGGAAUCCGAGGCUUCUAUGCCACAUUAAGCGGGACACCCCAGAGACCAUGGCCAUUGUAAUGACUGUGAAGCUUUGAUGGGAAUACUUGAGCCAUUCCUUUAAGCAGGUGUUCCUCACAUCUCAACUUCACCCUUCUUGAUCCUAGAAGCACUCUUCAACCAUGCUUUUAAACUCCAUGUCCUAGUUUUCUUAAAAGCAUAUAGAGCAGAACUGUUUCUGGGAACUCAGAAGAAAUCGUUGUCCCUACUUAGCUGCAAAGAGAACUAUAAUUCCUCAAAGCCUGUUUGUGUGGGCAACGUGGCCAAUACUGCCUUUGUUAAAAAAAAAAGAUGAUGCAUAUCAGAGGCAGAGUUAUUAAGCUUUUGAAAAUGCCCAGCACACGUGAAGGAUGUUUGUGCAGCGAGGUACUCUGAGGAUUCCUUUGCAGUUAAAUGUGUGUUCACCAAAUAUGGAAACCAGAACCGAGGUGAGAGUCAGUCCCGAGGGAGCUGCCAGGCAGGAGCAGGUGGACUCUUGGGGCUGGUGCUCCAGGGCUUGGCACGGACAGCUUCCUUCUCAUUCCAGAACUUUCCUGAUUUCCAAGGUUUGUCUGAAAAUGAUUCAUGGACCCACUAAUAUGGGGAAAAUAAGUCAUUGUCUCAGCCCACUCAAGAACCCAGUGGUGGCUCCCCAUUAGAUAGUUUUUAUCACCCAGGGGGCCAAAGCCGAGACCCUCACUCAGGUCCCAGACAUGACCAGCUCCAGCUCUCCGGACUCUUCUGUGUCCUAAAGGCCUUCCUAGUCCUUGCUCUGCGUCAUUAUUAAGCCAACGUCCCCUCUCGAGGACUCAACUGCCAUUCCACCAAUUCAUGUCCUUAACUUUUUAAAAGAUCUGACAGAAAAGAGCUAUUGAAAAGCAGCCUCCGUCUUCCUCCCCAUCACAUGUAAUUCUACGAUUCAUUAGUUAUUUACUGCCUCCAGCACCAAAGUAAUAAUUUCUAAAAUAAAAUUUUGGCCUUUUCGAUUGAUUUUACUGGGAAUUGCUCCUCCAUUUUUGAAUAUCUGUAUAUUUUGACUGCUCAAAAAUUUCUGUGAAAGCAAACUCUAGGUCUUUCUUUAAAAAACAAAAACAGCUCACAGUGUCAAGCACAGGUUGAGCGCAGAUCCAAGACUGUGAUCAAGUUUACCAUGACCUGCCUGUGUGAGUCGCGCAUGCUGCAGGCUCCAUCUGACUUACUUUCUUUUAUUUUUUUAAAGAUUUUUCAUGUCAUUUAUGAAUGUAUGACAUAUGGGUGUACAAUCACAUCUUUUCAUUUAUUUUUUUAUAUACGACAGCAUAAUGCAUUACAAUUCUCAUUACAUAUAUAGAGCACAAUUUUUCAUGUCUCUGAAAUUCGUGUCUUCAUACCUGUACAUCCAAGAAUUAUGGGACAGCAUCAAAAGACCAAAUCCAUCGGACUUUCUUGAUCGUGCGACACCUAGAAACACAAGGACGUGCUUCACAUCUCCUCCCUUCCAAAACUCCCUUUCUAAACUCCGCGUGGCUCUGAGUUUGAACACUAGUCUGGUUCAGGUUACCCGUAGCUUCCCUCUGAACAAAUCCAGUGACGGCGUCUCCUUCUCCGUCGUCAUCGGUUCUUGUCAUUGUUUGGCACAGAUCAUUUUCCCUCCUGUGUCCACUUGGCUCUCUGGGGACAGAUCUCCGUGGACCGUCUUCCCAGGUCCUCUGUUCCUUGGUGCUGCCUCCUCUCCCCCCUCCUCCGUCUCCUGUGGUCUUGACUGGAGCACACAGGCCCUUCCCCUGAGCCUCCUUCCAGUCCACGCUUCAACCCUUUUUACCCCAGAAACAUUUCUCGACUGUCCCAAUGUCCCAAAGCAUACAGAGCUCAGAUCUGGGGUCACAAUAAUAAGAUCCAGGAAAAUUCAAAGGAAAACUGGAGACCCCUUCAAGAGCACCUGCCCAGGGCCCAGGAUGGCAAUAUUGCUCCAGAAAAGAGGACAUGGUAAACUCACACAUGCCCUUGUCACUGACGGCAUGCAAGGCACAGAGUUGCGAAAGAAGAACCAAAGUGAUUGGUUGGUUUAUCUUUUCAAAGUAAAAAAGAUUUUUAAAAAACCCAAGGUCGCCAGGCAUGGUGGCACAAAUCAGUAAUCCUAGCUCUUUGGGAGGCUGAGACUUUGAUUCUAAGUUCAAGGUCAGCCCCAGCAACUUAGUGAGACCCUGUCUCAAAAUUAGAAAUAAAAAUGGCGGCUGGGAAUGUGACUCCUUGGUAAAAUGCCCCAGGGUUUAAUCACAGAAAGUCCAAGAUGAUGUGAGACAGAGAUAGAACUUGGUUGGGCUGAGGGUGGUGGGAAUUCAAGUCUCAUGCUGCCUGGUGAGAAAAUAGGUGAUCAAGAAAGGAUGCAGAGUAUCAGAAAAUCUAGGUGGUUUUACUCACCUUGGCUAAUCUACAAAUUAGGUUCCUGCAGUGUGGACAAACAGGAGUCAAACACACAGUGUUCUUCAGCCAGACGUGGAAGUAAAGCAUCCCCCUGGUUAACUUUUCUUCUAACCAUCGAAUCCUAGUGGCCACUUGUCUGUACUCAAUUUUUAAGUCUCCUAUCAACAACAGUGAAGAGUCUUAAACUUGUAGAGUUAGAGACAGGAUCCUGUCAAUUCUUUCCAGUGAUUUGAGAGACUGAGCCUCUGAGGGGAGCCCUGGGUUGUUCCCAGUCACAGCUGGGGUAGGUACCACCCCAGGCAGGCUGGUUCAUCUCCUCUUCUUCGUGUGAGUAUCAAUCCAGACACUUUUCCCUUCCAUACUUGACUUGACACUAUACAAAUUUUAUGUGAAACUCCUUUAAUAAGAAAUGACUCUGAAUUGGAACUUGGGUUUCAUUCAAGGCCAGAUUUAUGAAUAAUGAAAGUGUUCCUUCUCCUGCUGCACCUGAUUAACCCACACCUUCCAACCAGUGCUGCUUGUUCAGUAUCCUUAAGACACACAUCUGCACUGGCAAGUUCACGAGCAUCCUGCGCUGGUGUCUAGACAUUUGUUUGAGGCUACUUACUGGAUUUUCUGAGCUUUUUUUUUUUUGUG
rnacentral:lncRNA from 1 species